ACCCAAAAUAAAAUAAAAUAAAUAAUAAUGAAAAAAAAAAAAAAAGGCUUGCAAACGGGUCUUAAUUCCCUCGUCUCACGAAAAAAAUCCAUUAAUGGCUCCACAAAUAAUAGUAGAAUUGGGUAGAAUCAAUUCAAUCCCGCUAUCUCUCAACUCUAUAUGUUCUCCUCGCUCAUAAACGUCCUUUCUCUUCGACAAUUCUCAAUUUGAACCAAUCCGAUUACCGUGAUUUAAGCUUUAGUUAUAUUUGACAGUGAUGGCCCUCCAGGCGUUUAUAGAUUUUCCACGGGGUACAUCGAUCAAACUCACACACCCUGUUGAUCACCGCCACGGCCAGAGCGGAGGGAAUUAACGACGUUGAAAAAAUUGAUGAGGCGCUACAAUUACAUGAAUUGCCACCUUAAUUCCAUAUUACUUUUGACUUUCCACGGUCACUGUGCUGCUCACAAUCUGCCACUUGCCAACAUGUUGGUGUCACACGCAAUUCCAUUAGGAAAACCUGAAGGCUCCUUGGCGCCUCUGCGCGAGUGGUACGUGCGAAGUGCAAAGUGUGCUACUAUGGCGUCCAUUAUGACGUUCCUGGGUGUGGGUAGCAUUAAAUUGCUGGAGAAUGUUUUAUAGACAAAAAAUUCUUCCCCUCCUUUACUGCUAGGAACAUUCUCACUUAAAGAAAAAGGAGACUCAUAAUGCAAGGGUACUUUGGAACUUACAUGGUCAUCAAUAUUUGUUUUUAUUAUUCAAUGACACAACAUUAAUGUCCUCAUGUAGUAUAUAAUGUCAACUUACUUUCUCAUUAAUCAAACAUGAUGUCCACUAAUAAUUAAUUGCCCAUCAUAACCAGAACUACUGGAUUGUUACUACAGUGGCAUGAGGAAUAGUGUUAGUAGAAUACAUUGACGAUAAAAGAGAUAAAUACGAAGACUUUGGGUUUAGUAGUAUCUUUGAUGCUGCUAUUAUUGUUUCUUUGGAUUUCAAUAGUCAUGUAUAUAUUUGUAACAGUUUCCAAGGCUAAGGUAAUGUCCUCAUGUUUAAAUUUAAGGCUGAAAAUCUGGUGAAAAAAUCUAUGCUACUUCUAUAGUUCUAUAUAACUUUGUAGAGGUCUAGAAAUUCAUUUUGACCAAUCGAACCUUCUCAGGCUGUUAACUUUUAUGAAUGAAUAAGAUAUCUGCUGAGUAUCUGAGCAUCUAUUUCAGUUACUUAUUGUACUUCCUAAUGGCAAUUAACUCCCAUAACUUCCUUAUUUCAUGUUUCCAUCCCUGUUUGUGAUCAUACAACAAAUUUAGAUGACUGUUUUCUGGAUAAAUGAGCCGUAAUAGGAAUUCAAUUGCAGGCUUUUGCUCGGACACCUUUGACUUGUAUUAGUCCAAAAAAGACAUGGGAGGGAGCUCUGGCGGGAUUAGGUGGUUGUAUAUCAACCUCUUUAGUAUUAGCAAAAACCCUAGGCUGGCCUACAUCUGUCCUAAGUGCUGUAGCAUUUGGGUUUCUGAACUACUUUGGUUAUCUUUUUGGCGACUUAACCGAAUCCAUGAUCAAGCGUGAUGCAGGGGUCAAAGAUUCAGGAUCCCUCAUACCCGGACAUGGUGGGAUUCUAGAUAGGAUCAACAGCUACAUCUUUACAGGGGCACCGUCUUACGCUUUCGUCGAAAUCUUUCUACCAUUCUAUGGAGUUUGACGAAUUACUUCACUUGCUGCAAAGAGAGAAAAAUUCGCGUAUCUUCUCU